UCGAGAAUCUUCGGCAAUGGGCGCAAGCCUGACCGAGCGACGCCGCGUGGAGGACGAAGGCCUUCGGGUUGUAAACUCCUGUCGAGGGGGAAGAAGGUCCGCAAGGGCUUGACUGAUCCCUGGAGGAAGCACGGGCUAAGUUCGUGCCAGCAGCCGCGGUAAGACGAACCGUGCGAACGUUAUUCGGAAUCACUGGGCUUAAAGCGCGUGUAGGCGGGAUGGUACGUCGGCCGUUGAAAUCCCCCGGCUCAACCGGGGAACGGGCGCCGAUACGGCCACCCUUGAGGAACGUAGGGGGACCUGGAACUUCCGGUGGAGCGGUGAAAUGCGUUGAGAUCGGAAGGAACGCCCGUGGCGAAAGCGAGGUCCUGGACGUUUACUGACGCUGAGACGCGAAAGCCAGGGGAGCAAACGGGAUUAGAUACCCCCGUAGUCC
rnacentral:rRNA from 1 species